rnacentral:rRNA from 1 species
AUUGAACGCUAGCGGCAUGCUUUACACAUGCAAGUCGAACGAGUGGCGGACGGGUGAGUAAUAUAUCGGAACGUGCCCAGUAGCGGGGGAUACCUACUGGAAACGGUGCCUAAUACCGCCUACCAUUGGAUCGGCCGAUUGCGGAUUAGCUAGUUGGUGGGGAAAAGGCUCACCAAGGCCACGAUCCGUAGCUGGUUUGAGAGGACGACCCGCCACACUGGGACUGAGACACGGCCCAGACUCCUACGGGAGGCAGCAGUGGGGAAUGUUGGGCAAUGGGGGAAAGCCUGAUCCAGCCAUCCCGCGUGUAUGAGAAGGCCUUCGGGUUGUAAAGUACUUUUGGCAGGGAAGCGGUAUCUGCAGAAUAAGCACCGGCUAACUACGUGCCAGCAGCCGCGGUAAUAC